rnacentral:rRNA from 1 species
CAGCAGUAGCCGCGGUAAUACAGAGGUCUCAAGCGUUGUUCGGAUUCAUUGGGCGUAAAGGGAGCGUAGGCGGUCGGGUAAGUUGGAUGUGAAAUCCUGGGGCUCAACCUCAGAACUGCAUUCAAUACUGCUUGGCUAGAGUAUUGGAGAGGUGAGUGGAAUUCACGGUGUAGCAGUGAAAUGCGUAGAUAUCGUGAGGAAGACCAGCGGCGAAGGCGGCUCACUGGACAAUUACUGACGCUGAUGCUUGAAGGCUAGGGGAGCAAACGGGAUUAGAUACCCCCGUAGUCCCUGUCUCUUAUAC